UCGGGGGAAGUGGUCGGGGUUAUGUCUUAAACAGCCAGGGGAAGUGGUCGGGGUUAUGUCUUAAACAGCCAGGGGAAGUGGUCGGGGUUAUGUCUUAAACAGCCAUGGGAAGUGGUCGGGGUUAUGUCUUAAACAGCCAGGGGAAGUGGUCGGGGUUAUGUCUUAAACAGCCAGGGGAAGUGGUCAGGGUUAUGUCUUAAACAGCCAGGGGAAGUGGUCGGGGUUAUGUCUUAAACAGCCAGGGGAAGUGGUCGGGGUUAUGUCUUAAACAGCCAGGGGAAGUGGUCAGGGUUAUGUCUUAAACAGCCAGGGGAAGUGGUCGGGGUUAUGUCUUAAACAGCUAGGGGAAGUGGUCGGGGUUAUGUCUUAAACAGCUAGGGGAGGUGGUCGGGGUUAUGUCUUAAAUAGCAAGGGGAAGUGGUCGGAGUAAUGUCUUAAACAGCUAGGGGAAAUGGUCGGGGUUAUGUCUUAAACAGCUAGGGGAAGUGGUCAGGGUAUGUCUUAAACAGCUAGGGGAAGUGGUCGGGGUAAUGUCUUAAACAGCUAGGGGAAGUGGUCAGGGUAUGUCUUAAACAGCUAGGGGAAGUGGUCGGGGUAAUGUCUUAAACAACGCCUCUGCUAAAAUUGGCCUACUCUCUCCUUCCGCAUCUGCAGUGUGAUCAAGCUGUAGAUCAUAGAGCUGCCUGGCUGGUCAGAGGAAGGGGUGUUACAUCCAAAACAACACCUCUGAUAAAUGUUGUUUUGCCUCUCUUCAAGUGGCUGACUCAUACCCUAUGCACUAUAUUAUGCACUACUGUUGACAGAAGCCGAUAGUGAACACACACCAUACAGUAUGGCACAGGUCAAAAGUACUUCCCUUAUGAUGAGUAAACUCAGGUAUCAUUUAGGACACAGCCACCGACACUUGAGGAGUGUGGGGAAUAGAUGUGCCAUUAGAGACUUGUUCUUCCUGCUAACUGUCUGGCAGACUGGGGGAACGUUAAACAUCCCAAUCUUGAGAUCGCUCCUUGCCUGCAGCUGUUGUUUAGAAGGGAGGGAGUCUUCUGAUUCCCCGGCUAAACAGCGGAGAUAAUGGAUUUAUCCCCUGUUUAUCGGCCUGGACAGGGCUCAGCUCUGCAACAACACAGGAAUUUCCUGGAUAAAAAAGACCAGAGAGGGAGAGAGAGAGAGGGAGAGAAAGUGAGAGUGAGAGAGAAAGAGAGAGAGAAAAAGAGAAAGAGAAAUGGGAGAGGAGAGGAGAUAAAAGACAGGGAGAGAGAGAUACAGAGAAAGAAGAGAGAGAUACAGAGAGAGAAGAGAGAGAUACAGAGAGAGAUACAGAGAGAAGAGAGAGAUACGGAGAGAGAAGAGAGAGAUACAGAGAGAGAUACAGAGAGAGAAGAGAGAGAAGGGAGAGAUACAGAGGGAGAUACAGA